UGGGGAAUUUUGGACAAUGGGCGCAAGCCUGAUCCAGCAAUGCCGCGUGCGGGAAGAAGGCCUUCGGGUUGUAAACCGCUUUUGUCAGGGAAGAAACGAGUUUCUCUAAUACAGAGACUUAAUGACGGUACCUGAAGAAUAAGCACCGGCUAACUACGUGCCAGCAGCCGCGGUGAUACGAAGGGUGCGAGCGUUAAUCGGAAUUACUGGGCGUAAAGCGUGCGCAGGCGGUUAUAUAAGACAGAUGUGAAAUCCCCGGGCUCAACCUGGGACCUGCAUUUGUGACUGUAUAGCUAGAGUACGGUAGAGGGGGAUGGAAUUCCGCGUGUAGCAGUGAAAUGCGUAGAUAUGCGGAGGAACACCGAUGGCGAAGGCAAUCCCCUGGACCUGUACUGACGCUCAUGCACGAAAGCGUGGGGAGCAAACA
rnacentral:rRNA from 1 species